rnacentral:lncRNA from 1 species
CAAGUUCUUUCAGAAGAUUAUUAUAACACAAAUUUAGUGUUUGCGGCGAAAUCAUCAAGUGUGUUGUCGGGUUUUUCGCAUGGAAGGCCAAUGGCAACUCUUGCUGAUUCUUUCCUGGCCGAUCUGGUCGAGUUGUCCGACAAUAAGAUUACAUUAACCCUCUACUACUAAUAAUGCAACCUUUUGUCCUUUUUUGGUUGUGCUUUUGAUAGAAGAAAACACCUUGCAAAUUGUUUGAUACAUUAGAUGUAACAUAUUUUUAGCUUUAUCAAUAUCAGAAUAGCUAGAGACGACUAGUUUUCUUUUAAAAAAGCAUCAGAAUUAGAGUUGCGAUAUAGAAAUUUUCUCCGGCGUAACAACGGCAACAGGAGGUAACGGUAACGGCGAGCGACGACAAGAUACUGAUGCUGCUUCAACCUCACCGCCGCCGCCACGGU